UACGAAGGGUGCAAGCGUUGUUCGGAAUUAUUGGGCGUAAAGCGCGCGCAGGCGGUCCUUUAAGUCUGAUGUGAAAGCCCACGGCUCAACCGUGGAGGGUCAUUGGAAACUGGGGGACUUGAGUGCAGGAGAGAAGAGUGGAAUUCCACGUGUAGCGGUGAAAUGCGUAGAGAUGUGGAGGAACACCAGUGGCGAAGGCGGCUCACUGGUCCGGUACUGACGCUGAUGUGCGAAAGCGUGGGGAGCAAACAGG
rnacentral:rRNA from 1 species